AGGUCUGAUUCCCAGUGUGCAA
rnacentral:misc_RNA from 1 species